GCACAUUAUAAAAGUAUUAAUCCCCCCGUCUGUAUUCAUCAGUCUGAAAGUCCAGAAGAGGAGCCGAGCCCGGGGGUCUUGGGGCGAAUCGGCAGCUGGUUCUCUCCGUGGAAGUCACAAAUCCCCAGGGAUCUUGAAAUCGAGAAUGCCACCAAAGCGAGCGAGCAGGGCCCUGUGCCAGACACUGACGCAGCGAAGGGAGGAGCCGCACGGGCUGAGCCUGUGAGAGAGCCCGCCGGAGGAGGCUGGCAGAGGAAGUUGGGGACAGGCGCUCGGAGCUCAUACCCAGAGCGGUCGCGCCUCUCCAGGGAUCUCUCCUCCUCCACGAAGGAGGACGCCGCCCGGUCUGCCCGCAGAGACGGCCCCCUCUGGUCCACCGACUGGGAGCCAGCAGAACCAGGGCCCAAGGAGGAGGAGUUUGUGGAUGCUAGGGAGUUUCUAGAGGGGAGGAGAGGACAGGGCUGGGAGCGGGAAGGAGGUGGCCACCGUGGGACGCCACUGACAGGAGAUCCCAGUUUGGAGCACAAAGCCAGUCCUCUGACGCCUCGGUCUCGCACGCGUGUGCUCGGAGCGGUGGGGAAGCUUGACGCAGUCCACAACCCGGCUCAGAGGAACACACUCAACCACUCAGGCAAGAAGCUCCACGUGUACUUGGAGGAAGAGACAAGUGUGAUUAACAGCGGGAACAACUCAUGCACCGGGCAGGAGGUGGUUCGCGUCAGACUAGAGAAGAGCUUCGAUGUUCUCGCCAAGACCAAGUCACUGGACGCUCUCAAUUCACCACGGAGCAGCGGCCCGGAGCGGCGUGAGAUCAGGAACAGGUUCUGUCUGAGUGCCCCGGUGGAUCUAAAGCUCACUGCCCACUCAGACACCCACUGGGAGAGCCCUGAGACAGAAUCUGAGGAGACAGAAUCAGACAGGAUGGGGCGCAAAAACACCAGCCGGAGAAAGUCCAGGAAGCUGUCUCAGGGAGACGUGGAGGGAAACUCCCAAGAGAACACUCCUUCCAAUGCGUGUCAGGCACUGUCAGGCUCCCCCUCUGCCUCAGGUGGAACGUUGUUGACCAAAGCUCCAGGGGUGGAGACUCACCUGGGGAGAGCAGCAGGAAACUCCGCCUCCAGUCAGAGCUUAUCUGAGGGAGGGAAAAACAAGACUUCGCCCACAGCUAUUCAUAGAGAAAUUCCUCUGGGUAAGCAGCCAAAGGGACGUUUAGGCGCCGAUACUACCAGUUGUACUGGCACCAUCGUGGCUGCAGUUGAUGGAGAGGAAGACAUGGAUGAAAAAUUUAAGUUGGAGAGGAAAACUGAAACAGCAGAGUCCAAACGCAAGAGUAUUAAGGUCUCCAGAAGUGAGGUGAAGAUAUUUUCAAAGAAUGUUCUUGUAAACGCUGAUUCACAAUCUGGGCCCAGAAGUGGAAAUGUUUCCGAGAACUUUCAUUCAGGAUUAUCAAAACCUCAAGAUGCAGUCAAGGAUAAUUCUGAAACAGAGGUCCUUGCAAGGUAA
rnacentral:lncRNA from 1 species